GACGAACGCUGGCGGCGUGCUUAACACAUGCAAGUCGAACGAGUGGCGAACGGGUGAGUAAGACGUGGGUAAACUUCCUUGCCCUACGGGAUAAGGUGGGGAAACUGGUUGUAAUACCGGAUAGUGCAAGAUGGGCGCGGGGCCUGUCAGCUGGUUGGUGGGGUAAUGGCUACCAGGGGGCGACUGGUAGACCGCAUGAGAGGGGGUACGGGCACAUGGGGGCUGAGAGACGGGGCAGACGCCGAUGGGGGGCAGCGGUGGAGAAUAUUGCCCACUGGGGGGAAGCGUGAUGCAGCGACGCCGCGUGGGGGAGGAAGGGCUUCGGGGUGUAAACUCCUUUUGACAGGGACGCGGUACCUGUAGAAGAAGCACCGGCUAACUACGUGCCAGCAGCCGCGGUAAUUC
rnacentral:rRNA from 1 species